UACAGAGUUAAAAGACACGACGACACAGACGCCAUCGACGGCAGUUACAGAAAUAAAAAAUACGACGACCCAGAUGCCAUCGACGACAGUUACAGAAAGUGCGUGCCACGAUGAUCACGAUUCAAAAUGUAAUGACGGAGAAGCCUUAACUCUCAUUUGUGGAUUGCCUGCAAGCGCUGCUAAGCUCUGCCCGAAAAGCUGCGGCUUGUGUGGUACAUGCUAUGAUCUUCUGGACUGCAGUACAACAGGCGCACAAGAAUAUUUCUGUUCCAACCCCAAUGACGCCGUAAAAUACUGCAGGAAAACGUGUGGAAAAUGC